rnacentral:rRNA from 1 species
AGUGAACGCUGGCGGUAGGCCUAACACAUGCGAGUCGAACGGCAGCACAGUAAGAGCUUGCUCUUACGGGUGGCGAGUGGCGGACGGGUGAGGAAUACAUCGGAAUCUACUUUUUCGUGGGGGAUAACGUAGGGAAACUUACGCUAAUACCGCAUACGACCUACGGGUGAAAGCAGGGGAUCUUCGGACCUUGCGCGAUUGAAUGAGCCGAUGUCGGAUUAGCUAGUUGGCGGGGUAAAGGCCCACCAAGGCGACGAUCCGUAGCUGGUCUGAGAGGAUGAUCAGCCACACUGGAACUGAGACACGGUCCAGACUCCUACGGGAGGCAGCAGUGGGGAAUAUUGGACAAUGGGCGCAAGCCUGAUCCAGCCAUACCGCGUGGGUGAAGAAGGCCUUCGGGUUGUAAAGCCCUUUUGUUGGGAAAGAAAAGCAGCAGGUUAAUACCCCGCUGUUCGGACGGUACCCAAAGAAUAAGCACCGGCUAACUUCGU